rnacentral:rRNA from 1 species
GGCGGCCUACGGGGGGCAGCAGUGGGGAAUAUUGCACAAUGGGGGAAACCCUGAUGCAGUGACGCCGCGUGAGCGAAGAAGUAUUUCGGUAUGUAAAGCUCUAUCAGCAGGGAAGAAAGCAAUGACGGUACCUGACCAAGAAGCCCCGGCUAACUACGUGGCAGCAGCCGCGGUAAUACGUAGGGGGCAAGCGUUAUCCGGAAUUACUGGGUGUAAAGGGAGCGUAGACGGCUGUGCAAGUCUGGAGUGAAAGGCGGGGGCCCAACCCCCGGACUGCUCUGGAAACUGUAUGGCUGGAGUGCAGG